CCCCUAAAAAACCGUUACUUCAGUUCAGAUUGCAGGCUGCAACCCGCCUGCAUGAAGUCGGAAUUGCUAGUAAUCGCGGAUCAGCAUGCCGCGGUGAAUACGUUCCCGGGCCUUGUACACACCGCCCGUCACACCAUGGGAGCCGGUAAUACCCGAAGUCAGUAGUCCAACCUCGUGAGGACGCUGCCGAAGGUAGGAUUGGCGACUGGGGUGAAGUCGUAACAAGGUACC
rnacentral:rRNA from 1 species